rnacentral:RNase_P_RNA from 1 species
GGGACGAAUCGGUCUAUCGCCAGGAAAACAUCCUGGAGGAAAGUCCGGGCAACGCAGGGCAAUGCACCCUGAGAAAAUCAGGGGAUUAAAGUUGUAAAGCUUUAAGACAGCAAGUGUAGCAGAAAAUAACCGCCUCGUUUCGGGGUAAGGGUGAAAAUGUGGAGUAAGAGACCACGGGUUUAGACGGUAACGUUUAAAUGGUACAAACCUUGCAUGUUGAAAGACCAAGUAAACCUUAGUUAUGGAGUUGCCCGCUCCUUGCUUCGGCAACUAAGGAGGGUAGGUUGAUUGAUCCAUGGGGCGACCCCUGGACCAGAUAAAUGAUAGACAUUCAAACCUUGUGUUUGGAUACAGAACCCGGCUUACAGAUUUGUCCCUUUU